rnacentral:rRNA from 1 species
AUUGAACGCUGGCGGCAUGCCUUACACAUGCAAGCCGAACGGCAGCACGGGGCAACCUGGUGGCGAGUGGCGAACGGGUGAGUAAUGCAUCGGAACGUGCCAUUGAGUGGGGGAUAACGUAGCGAAAGUUGCGCUAAUACCGCAUAUUCUGUGAGCAGGAAAGCAGGGGACCGCAAGGCCUUGCGCUCUUUGAGCGGCCGAUGUCAGAUUAGCUAGUUGGUGAGGUAACGGCUUACCAAGGCGACGAUCUGUAGCGGGUCUGAGAGGAUGAUCCGCCACACUGGAACUGAGACACGGUCCAGACUCCUACGGGAGGCAGCAGUGGGGAAUUUUGGACAAUGGGCGCAAGCCUGAUCCAGCCAUGCCGCGUGAGUGAAGAAGGCCU